AAAAUGUCACCUUUUCCUUGUCAACAGAUGUGUAUAAGACUAGUUAGUGGCAUAGAAAGUUAGCACUGUAGAGAAAGACUUGGAAAAUACUUGUUUCUUUGAGUAAAAAACGGAUAUCUAACUCUUCUUGUGAGCACAUUGUAAAAAAAAAAGUACAGCUGCUCUCAGGAAAAACAGCAUCAUGGAUAGCGCCUCGUCAAUUGGGAUAGCCGUAGCAUUUGGGAUCUUGGGAUUAUUCGUGCUUAUCUGUUUGGUGCAGAUCUGCAUCAAGAAAAUCAAAUGUUGCAAAAAUCCUUCGGUGAAAGACAAAAUUUUAAAGAAAGUUGGGAUUAAGAAAUCUUCAACUCCAUUUUCAGUCAGCAGAAUCGUUGACAAGAAGUAACAGCCGUCACUCCUCCUACGACAUUCUCCCUGCCUAUAGAUAGUGUACAUAGACAUGACAGAAUCUAUUGUAGUGCAUUAUUUACAACAUCUGUAACUGUAAUUUUUUCCCAUAUUGUUAUGAAAUUAUUUCUGUGUAAAGUGUGAUUCACGUUUCUGAGGUGAAGGUGUUAGUGAUGGGGAUGUUGAUGAUUCAUAUCUAGAG